GACAGAGGUGCCGAGCGUUAGGCGGAAUCACUGGGCUUAAAGCGUGUGUAGGCGGACCGUUAAGUGUCUUGUGAAAUCCCACGGCUCACCCGUGGAACGGCUGGGCAUACUGGCGGUCUUGGGCCACUCAGGGGCGAGCGGAACAGGCGGUGGAGCGGUGAAAUGCGUAGAUAUCGCCUGGAACGCCGACGGUGAAAACAGCUCGCUGGGGGUGUGCCGACGCUGAGACACGAAAGCCAGGGGAGCGAACGGG
rnacentral:rRNA from 1 species